GACGAACGCUGGCGGCGUGCUUAACACAUGCAAGUCGAACGGAAAGGCCCUGCUUUUGUGGGGUGCUCGAGUGGCGAACGGGUGAGUAACACGUGAGUAACCUGCCCUUGACUUUGGGAUAACUUCAGGAAACUGGGGCUAAUACCGGAUAGGAGCUCCUGCUGCAUGGGGGGGGUUGGAAAGUUUCGGCGGUUGGGGAUGGACUCGCGGCUUAUCAGCUUGUUGGUGGGGGAGUGGCUUACCAAGGCUUUGACGGGUAGCCGGCCUGAGAGGGUGACCGGCCACAUUGGGACUGAGAUACGGCCCAGACUCCUACGGGAGGCAGCAGUGGGGAAUAUUGCACAAUGGGCGGAAGCCUGAUGCAGCAACGCCGCGUGCGGGAUGACGGCCUUCGGGUUGUAAACCGCUUUCGCCUGUGACGAAGCGUGAGUGACGGUAAUGGGUAAAGAAGCACCGGCUAACUACGUG
rnacentral:rRNA from 1 species